AGACCCGAAACCCGGUGAUCUAGCCAUGGGCAGGUUGAAGGUUGGGUAACACUAACUGGAGGACCGAACCGACUAAUGUUGAAAAAUUAGCGGAUGACCUGUGGCUGGGGGUGAAAGGCCAAUCAAACCGGGAGAUAGCUGGUUCUCCCCGAAAGCUAUUUAGGUAGCGCCUCGUGAAUUCAUCUCCGGGGGUAGAGCACUGUUUCGGCUAGGGGGCCAUCCCGGCUUACCAACCCGAUGCAAACUGCGAAUACCGGAGAAUGUUAUCACGGGAGACACACGGCGGGUGCUAACGUCCGUCGUGAAGAGGGAAACAACCCAGACCGCCAGCUAAGGUCCCAAAGUCAUGGUUAAGUGGGAAACGAUGUGGGAAGGCCCAGACAGCCAGGAUGUUGGCUUAGAAGCAGCCAUCAUUUAAAGAAAGCGUAAUAGCUCACUGGUCGAGUCGGCCUGCGCGGAAGAUGUAACGGGGCUAAACCAUGCACCGAAGCUGCGGCAGCGACGCUUAUGCGUUGUUGGGUAGGGGAGCGUUCUGU
rnacentral:rRNA from 1 species